CAGAGAUAUAGCCUCAGGGAAAUGUCGUCUUUUAACCUGUUGUUGCAUUUAAAGUGCAUGUCUUCUCACCUUGUUGUACUGCACCCUGCAGUGGUACUUGCCCUUGUGGCCUUUCUUGAAUCUCUUCUGUAGCACUUGAGGGAUUUGGUCAUUUAGCAUCAUUUGCCCCCCUGCUUUUUUGUUUUGGGACUCUGUAUUGUCAUUGCUGCAGUGUUCUUGGCUUUGCUACAACAGCUCUGUGUGAUAGAAGUUUGUGAGCUGUCACUUCAUCCAGGCCAGUAGUCUGCCUGGUGAUGAAACUGUUUUCUCAUUUGCACAAAAUUACUCAACUGUGUGGUAUGUUGGGCUCAGUUGCAUUCUCUUUGAAGUCAAGACUAAAACUCCCAUUGAAAUUCAUGAGAAAAGGUAAGGCCAGCUGUAAAUCAAUACAAUAUUUCUUCAUUUCAGGCAUGGGGAGUGUGUAAUUGUGUGGUGUUCCAUUAUGUGCUCUAUAAUCAGCCUUGUCUGUGCUAUUCUGAUCCAAGAUCUUUCACUAGCAAACAUGGCUUUAGUCAGUACUGAAAUAUGUGGGGCGAACAUGCCCAGAUUUUUCAAAGUACAGGGUAGGCAGAAGCAAGAUGGCUGCAAUAGCAAACAGGACAGGCAUUUGUCUGCCUUUAGUGAUUCAGAAGAUGGGACCUGAACCAUGAUUUCCCACAUCCUCAUUGCUGUACAGCUGGGUCAUUUGUGUCAGUAUGAGUCUCAUUGGUUGCAGCUGCCCUAUGUGGAACAAAUAAAUGCUGAGUUCCUCAAAGGGAGGCCUUGGAGUUCAGUUACCACAGCUGAGGAUCUGAGUGCUGGGAGAGUCUCUUCUGCCAUGCUCUCACUGCUGUAUGUGCUUUGACAACCAUGAGUGACUCUAGGAGACAUCCUUGUCACAUCCAUGUGCAGUGUGGAGCAUUAAUGCAGCUCAGAAAAGAUUUUAUAUGCCUCUUCAUAAGUAUGAUCGUAGUAGAGGUGACUUCUCUGCCUGCCUGUGACAUUUGUAGCUGAGAAUAAAGUACCACUAACUGAAGGGGGGGAAAAGAAGUAGGACUUUCCUAGUAGGAUAAAUCUUGGCGCUUUAUCAGCUUUAAAACAAACCAUUGAUCACUUAACUUCAAAUAAUUCCCUUCCAACUGCUUCAAGAUUUUCUUCUCCUGAGGAUCAGAUACCUGUACCCAUAAGGAAGCCAGCUCUCUGAGAAUGUUUUGCACCUCUGCAUCAGAUACAGUCCAAUAUUAUGCUGGGAAACAGACACUACGUACCCACCCAUGAAUGGGACAGCGCAGACGCAUUGGGAAUGUUCCAACAGCAGGUUCCUGUAUCUGCACUGGGACUCAUACAGACUGCAGCCUUCCAAAGAGCUAUAGUUGAUGUGAGAUAAGGAAUUGUUUGUGCUUCAAAAGAAAUGGCAGUGUUUGGAAAUUUUGCUUUUGUUCUGGAUCAGAAUGAAAAACUGUCAACACCUCCUUUGAAGUGAAAAUGAAAAUUGAGACAAAACAUCAACAUGAGAAUCAGCACUUAACAUUAACAAAACACUUUGGUUCAUUUUGUGAGGUAAAAUAUUUUGGCUUGACUUUUACAGCUCUAUAAAUAUACCAAAAUUACUUGUCUUAUUUGCUAAAAGUUACAGUAUAGUCCAGAAACGUUUAACUAUUUUAGAACUGAAAUACUUUGAUCGCACUGACAUGAUGCUUUUUCAAGACAGGAGUGUCACAGAUGGACCUGCUCCUGCAGAGAUGUAUUUCCAUAAAAGGGAUGCUGUUCCUGAAUCCUUCUGACGCAGGUUAAUUGACCUGCUGUGCUGGUUGGGAUUGUGCAGAGCAGGUGCCUUCUCAGUACACACCUCUCAAAGAUCUCCUUCCUGUUCUGCUCAGUGCCUCUGAAGGGCAGCUUGUUUUGAAUACCAGAUUCCUCACACCUUAGGCUCCAGCUUUUUCUAGGUGUUAUGCACCAAGAUUGAACUGAUCUCACCUUCUGAUACUCCCCAGCCUUCCAGGUCUGUUAAAGGUCAUUUCCUCGGAGGAGGAGGGACAUUACUUGAAGUGGCAAUGAGGUACUUUAAAUGGGGAAAAAAAAUCUCAAUUUUGGGUGGUUCAGAAAUGCACAGCUUUUUAAUGUUAUUUUAUUGUACUGUGCUUGAGUUCGUG
ensembl:lncRNA